rnacentral:rRNA from 1 species
GUGCCAGCAGCCGCGGUAAUACAGAGGGUGCAAGCGUUGUUCGGAAUUAUUGGGCGUAAAGCGCGUGUAGGCGGCUUUGCAAGUCGGGUGUGAAAGCCCUCAGCUCAACUGAGGAAGUGCGCCCGAAACUGCAUGGCUUGAAUACCGGAGAGGAUGGCGGAAUUCCCCAAGUAGAGGUGAAAUUCGUAGAUAUGGGGAGGAACACCGGUGGCGAAGGCGGCCAUCUGGACGGCUAUUGACGCUGAGACGCGAAAGCAUGGGGAGCAAACAGGAUUAGAAACCCUAGUAGUCC